GCUGAACAUUGAAGGUUCUGUUGAUCCCAAUUACCUUAAUGAGAAGAAAUCUUCUGUUGAGGAUCCCAAUUACCUUGAUGAGAAGAAAUCUUCAGUUGAUGACACAAAUUACCUUAGUGAGAAGAUAUCUUCUGUUGAUGACCCCAGCUACCUUAAUGAGAAGGAAUCUUCUGUUGAUGAUCCCAACAUCCUGAAUGAGAAGAAAUCUUCUGUUGAUGAUCCUAACUGCCUGAAUGAGAAGAAAUCUGCUGUUGAUGAUCCCAACUACGUGGAUG
rnacentral:misc_RNA from 1 species